rnacentral:rRNA from 1 species
UACAGAGGGUGCAAGCGUUAAUCGGAAUUACUGGGCGUAAAGCGUGCGCAGUCGGCUAUUUAAGUCGGAUGUGAAAUCCCCGGGCUCAACCUGGGAAUUGCAUUCGAUACUGGAUAGCUAGAGUUCGGCAGAGGGAAGUGGAAUUUCAGGUGUAGCGGUGAAAUGCGUAGAUAUCUGAAGGAACAUCAGUGGCGAAAGCGACUUCCUGGACCAGAACUGACGAUCAGGCACGAAAGCGUGGGGAGCAAACAGG